UACGGAGGAUGCAAGCGUUAUCCGGAAUGAUUGGGCAUAAAGCGUCCGCAGGUGGCUGUGUAAGUCUGCUGUCAAAGAGCGAAGCUCAACUUCGUAAAGGCAGUGGAAACUACACGGCUAGAGUGCGUUCGGGGCAGAGGGAAUUCCUGGUGUAGCGGUGAAAUGCGUAGAGAUCAGGAAGAACACCGGUGGCGAAGGCGCUCUGCUAGGCCGCAACUGACACUGAGGGACGAAAGCUAGGGGAGCGAAUGGG
rnacentral:rRNA from 1 species